rnacentral:sRNA from 1 species
GCGCAAUUUCGGGCGACCACCAGUGCGC